CCACCAGCAGAGUAACUCCUGUCGCUGCCAGCGGGGACAGUCCCAAGUGACCAGGGAGCAGGUGGAGAUCUAAAGUCCAUGGGAGAAGAGAAGAAGCCCUCCUCUCACCUCCCCACGCCAGGGACCAGCCCCUCGAAUUCCGCAGAGCCUGGAGUUGCAGGAACAGGAAGCAGAGAAUUCCCAAGGUUUGCUGCAUCCAAAUAAGAAUGACUUCCUCUUGGCAUGAAAUGGAACUCCAACAGGGACUCGCUGCAGCACAGAAAAGCCAAACCGCCAAUCUGAAUAAAUAAGCAUAAAUUUUA